GACGAACGCUGGCGGCGUGCCUAAUACAUGCAAGUCGAGCGCAGGAAGCCGUCUGAACCCUUCGGGGGGACGACGGUGGAAUGAGCGGCGGACGGGUGAGUAACACGUAAAGAACCUGCCCAUAGGUCUGGGAUAACCACGAGAAAUCGGGGCUAAUACCGGAUGUGUCAUCGGACCGCAUGGUCCGCUGAUGAAAGGCGCUCCGGCGUCGCCCAUGGAUGGCUUUGCGGUGCAUUAGCUAGUUGGUGGGGGAACGGCCCACCAAGGCGACGAUGCAUAGCGGACCUGAGAGGGUGAUCGGCCACACUGGGACUGAGACACGGCCCAGACUCCUACGGGGGGAAGCAGUAGGGAAUCGUCCACAAUGGACGAAAGUCUGAUGGAGCAACGCCGCGUGAACGAUGAGGGCUUUCGGGUCGUAAAGUUCUGUUGUAAGGGAAGAACAAGUGCCGCAGGCAAUGGCGGCACCUUGACGGUACCUUGCGAGAAAGCCACGGCUAACUACGUGCCAGCAGCCGCCGUAA
rnacentral:rRNA from 1 species